CCUACGGGUGGCAGCAGUGAGGAAUAUUGGUCAAUGGUCGGGAGACUGAACCAGCCAAGCCGCGUGAGGGAUGAAGGUACAGAGUAUCGUAAACCUCUUUUGUCAGGGAACAAAGGCGGGGACGUGUCCCCGGAUGAGUGUACCUGAAGAAAAAGCAUCGGCUAACUCCGUGCCAGCAGCCGCGGUAAUACGGAGGAUGCGAGCGUUAUCCGGUUUUAUUGGGUUAAAAGGGUGCGCGGGCGGUCUUGUACGUCAGCGGUAAAAGCCCGGGGCUCAACCCCGGCCCGCCGUUGAAACUGGCAGUCUCGAGUUGGAGAGAAGUAUGCGGAAUGCGCGGUGUAGCGGUGAAAUGCAUAGAUAUCGCGCAGAACUCCGAUUGCGAAGGCAGCAUGCCGGCUCCACACUGACGCUGAGGCACGAAAGCGUGGGUAUCGAACAGGAUUAGAUACCCCGGUAGUC
rnacentral:rRNA from 1 species